rnacentral:rRNA from 1 species
UAGGCUGGGUGUGGAAGGGCAGUAAUGCCUGCAGCUAACCAGUACUAAUUGCCCGUGCGGCUUGAUCCUAUAACCUUGUAGGUUA